rnacentral:rRNA from 1 species
GACGAACGCUGGCGGCGUGCUUAACACAUGCAAGUCGAACGGAAAGGCCCUGCUUUUGUGGGGUGCUCGAGUGGCGAACGGGUGAGUAACACGUGAGUAACCUGCCCUUGACUGUGGGAUAACUUCAGGAAACUGGGGCUAAUACCGGAUAGGAGCUCCUGCUGCAUGGGGGGGGUUGGAAAGUUUCGGCGGUGGGGGAUGGACUCGCGGCUUAUCAGCUGGUUGGUGGGGUAGUGGCUUACCAAGGCUUUGACGGGUAGCCGGCCUGAGAGGGUGACCGGCCACCAUGGGCCUGAGGUACGGCCCAGUCUCCUACGGGCGGCAGCAGUGGGGAAUAUUGCACAGUGGGCGGAAGCCUGAUGCGGCGGCGCCGCGUGCGGGAUGACGGCCUUCGGGUUGUAAACCGCUUUCGCCUGUGGCGAAGCGUGAGUGACGGUAAUGGGUAAAGAAGCACCGGCUAACUACGUG